rnacentral:tmRNA from 1 species
GGGGAUGUACCAGAUUCGACAGUAAUGUACUUUACCAUCUGGCAAGCCAAGAACAGCUACUUGUCCGAUUUAUCGGAAAAAAAGCUACAACUUAUAACUGGCAAAAUUAAAAAUGCCAUCGCACAGACCUUCCAAUUUUCUCCGAAUCCUAUGAUUCUCGGAGUUGUUGCAUAAGAUUUGUGUGACAUCCGCUUGGGUCUUUCCUCGUAGAUACAAAGCGGGUGCCAUACUUGACGAGGACCCGUAAAUUUUGUUGACUGACGGAAUUUACUUGGGUAUUUUCAGUCCGUGUUUUUAUCACGUAUUUAUCUCUAGCUUUUAUUGCUAGAAAAGCUUGUAUAUCUAGAUGUUAGGUUAGUUUACUGGACGCGGGUGCAACUCCCGCCAUCUCCACCA